AAAGGUACAAGUUGAUCUACGGCGUACAAGUACACAUGCAUGCAUAUAUCGAUCGUCCGAUGGAUGGACCGAUAUAUACUACAGCUAGCUGCUAAUUCUCAUUUAGCUCCCGGGGGCGAAGUUGGUAGCAAAGGCCCAUGCAUUGUUGUUGACUGGGUCGGCGACGUGGUCGAAGAGGUUCUCGACGGGUCCCUUGCCCGUGACGAUGGCCUGCACGAAGAAUCCAAACAUGGAGAACAUGGCGAGGCGGCCGUUCUUGAGCUCCUUGACCUUGAGCUCAGCGGCGGUGUCUGGGUCGUCGGCGAGACCGAGGGGGUCAAAGGCGCCACCGGGGUAGAUCUUGUCGAGCCCCUCACCGAGAGGGCCUCCACCAACACGGUAACCCUCGAUGAAGCCCAUGAGCACAACUUGGCAUGCCCAAAUGGCGAGGAUGCUCUGCGCGUGCACGAGGUUAGGGUUGCCCAGGUAGUCCAGGCCGCCCUCGGAGAAGAUCUGCGAGCCGGCCUUGAACCACACCGCCUCGCCGAACUUGACACCAUUCUUGGAGAGGAUCUCCGGGAACACGCACCCGAGCGCGCCAAGCAUCGCCCAACGAGAGUGGAUCACCUCGAGCUCCCUGUUCUUGGCGAACGUCUCUGGGUCAGCUGACAACCCCGCGGUGUCCCAGCCGUAGUCACCGGGGAACUCGCCGGUCAGGUACGACGGCGUCUGCUCGGAGAACGGGCCCAGGUACUUGGGACGGUCAGGGCCGUACCUAUAUAUACACGCACGGUCAUUUCAUCACCAUUAAUUUCAUUCAGGCGAAGCCAAUUGCGCGGUACUUGAUGCAUGUAGUACAUAGAAAUGUAGCUUUGGACGAAGAAAAAGAUAUACUUACCAGAUGCUCUGGGGUGCGCUCUUGACAGUCCGGCGCAUGGUGAUGCGGCCGCCGAAGUCGCCGACGCUGCGGACGAGGUCAUCGCGGCGUGGGGCGGUGCCGAGGAAGCUGGUGGUCUGGUGCAGCGCCGACGCGGCCAUUUCGAUCCCAAUUCAAGUGGUAAGGUCAGUGAGAGAUGAGCUGGUGGCUGGUGUUGUUUGAGUGAGGAUGCCCGGCUCGGGGAGGUGGAUCUUUAUACGGCGCCUGAGAGGCGCGGGGCGAAGCUGGUGGACGCGCGGCGAGACACGUCCCCGCGACCCAAUUGGCUGCUGCUUCGCCUCUGGAUAUGGCGCGGUAUCCAUCCCCCUCCACGCGACCACUCGUCGGCCGCCACCUGGAGCCCAAGAUCGCAUCGCCCACAUCCUACACUAUCCCGACCAUAUAUGCACAUAUGUGCUCUGUUUCAUUUUAUCACGGUACAAUACUUGCCUAGAUCCGGUGAAACCGUGACAAAAUCAAACGACACCACCCACCAGUUUUCAUCUCACUGAUCGACCUGGUGAUGCGAGGUGAUUGAACCUCUCGCAGAUGUUCUUACCUUGCUCCGCUGGAUAAAGAUAUUACGGUUUUGUUAGUUCUAGGUUGUCAGAUUUUUAGUUAGAGAUAAGUUGAUUUUUCGGCCGUUGGAUAUGAUUUGUGCUUUAAAAUUUGCAAAGGAUGAUGAAAAAAAAAAGAUUUUUUACACUGGAUCAUACUGCUCCUCUUAUCCCAUCCGUCCGCUGUGCCUCGAGAUUCGUGCCCGACACCACAUAGUGAAAACUGCCUUCUGACUGCUGCUGAGUCCCACUCCUCAUUUUCCUUCUUCCCCAACCUCAAGCGCCUCUCUCUCUCUCUGCCCCUCUCUCUCUCUCCCCCCCAUGGUGCUGCUCCAUGUUAGGCGUCUCUCUCUCCUCUCCAUGGUGCUGCAUUGCCGCUCCAUGUUUUCACGCCUCUCUCUCCUCUCCAUGGUGAUGCUCUCUCUCUCUCUCUCUCCUAUCCAUGGCGCUGCACCAGUGGCUGCGGCGGCGACGGCACGGCCAUGUGUUGGAGGCGGCAGCAGGCGGUGCGCAUGUGGUGGCGAUAGCGGCCAACAUCGUGCCAUGUGCUUUUGGCGAGCCAGUUUUUUUCUUCGGCACACUAUAGAAGAGGCCAAGAGGGAGUGGUGUGCU
rnacentral:lncRNA from 1 species